rnacentral:sRNA from 18 species
GUCAAUAACUCAGGGCUAAAGCCGCUGAGCUUGUAAGAAACAGUUCUUACUGAGAAUUGACUAGGUUAUAAGCCGUUCCGUUAACUGCUACGAACUUACCGAUGCUUCCCCAGUCUGUAUUAUCUUCA